UACGGGGGGGGCAAGCGUUGUUCGGAAUUACUGGGCGUAAAGGGCUCGUAGGCGGCCAACUAAGUCAGACGUGAAAUCCCUCGGCUUAACCGGGGAACUGCGUCUGAUACUGGAUGGCUUGAGUUUGGGAGAGGGAUGCGGAAUUCCAGGUGUAGCGGUGAAAUGCGUAGAUAUCUGGAGGAACACCGGUGGCGAAGGCGGCCAUCUGGACCGAUACUGACGCUGAGGCGCGAAAGCGUGGGGAGCAAACAGG
rnacentral:rRNA from 1 species